CCCAAAUCCCCUUCCUCCAGACUGCAAGCCAUGGUGGUCAAGCACGUCAAUCUUUCCCGAGGAGCGACUUUGCUGAUGCGGUGCUCGCGCAGCUCUUGCCUCCCCACGGCUGCAGCGCUACAACCGGCAUCAGGCGGUGCUACAUCCGGUGGUCGGCAAGCUGUAACCUACACAGCGGCUAAUCGGCGGUCGGCGGUCCGCGAGCUGCAACCACACCGUCGCUGCCAAUGUUGGAACCAUCGAUGCAAAAAGCUGGAAGCAGCGGCGCAAAAAGCUGCAGCCAGCAAACGAUUUUGCUACAUUCAUCAUGGCGGACCUGCGCCCCCGCGAUGACGGUGACAUUUUUGCUGCAACCGUCGUCUGAUUUUGCUACUAUCGGCGAGAGCUGUGACGCCGGCGACCAAUUUUUCUUGCUGCCACCGUUGGUGUUUUUUGCUACUACCCGGCGAUGUAUUUUGCUACAUUCACUCAAUGUCGUUUAAUGGUGGUCGUCAGUCGCAGCGAGGGUCGACGACGAGUGGCGGAGGCGACACAUUGGGUGCCACAACCAUGGAGCGUUGACGGGGGAGUUGCAACUCUGAGGUGGAGCUUGUAACUGAAAAUUAACUAGCGAGAAGGUUCUCCGGCGAGCAGCAGAGGGGCUACAAGGAAUAGAGGUGCAAGCGCGCGGCGGCCGGCAGUCGUUCCCCUCGCCGAGCUGCACACGAAGGCGGAGCCGCGGGGACAGCGGCGUGGGAUUUUAUUUGGGAUUUGUGGGAAGGAAGAAGACGGAAGGGAAGGCUAGAUCGGGGCGAAUGAUUUUUUUGGACGGCUGUACUGUACCAGAUCGAACGGCUGGGUCUGACCGGCCGAAUCUAGCGCCGGCGGACCGGCGCCUAGUACUGGCCAUAAAAAAAUGGCAUCAUCUUAGACA